AGAGGAUCAAUCAAACUUGGGUUGGAAUGAUGUAGUGCACUGCAUCCAAUGGAUCUUGGAACUCGUAGUCCGUUUACAUCUAACUUACAGCAGCAUAUCUAUGCUACAGCAGUGACAACGCCAAAGAAAAGGACUACAUUUCCCAGAAUGCACCUGCACCCACUCAGCUGCCCCCACCCUUCAGGUGCGACUGCUUGACCUAUGGGCUUGACGGGAAAAUUCAAAAUCGCGAACCGUUACUGCCUGGACUGUCUCUUUGUUUGUUUGCUCAUCAACAGUAAGAGGUCAUGUACACUGUGGUCAACUUUGUGGACGCUGAAGAGGUUUCUGGAGAAAUAAUGAAGUAACAGUGGAAGCUAAAACUUCAGACUGAUCCAGACGCUGAAGAAAUUGAGGUCACUGCAAUCUGGCCAAAAUGAUACAACUAUAUUGAAGUAGUCUACUGUAAUAAAGCUGCAGAACAACACAGAGACUCUGAGGACAUCAACACAGAAAAUGAAGGCUCCAAAGAGAUGUCUGUCCAGAUGAGGGUGCAUCAACGUUACCUUUGCUGACAAGUAUAUGCUUUACAAUGUAAAACCUAACAGUUAACUUAACUCAAACCAUUUAAGGAAAUCGGUUGCCUUAAAGGGAAAUUCCGCCUUGAAAUGA